UACAGAGGUCUCAAGCGUUGUUCGGAUUCAUUGGGCGUAAAGGGUGUGUAGGUGGCGCCGUAAGUCGGGUGUGAAAUUUCGGAGCUUAACUCCGAAACUGCAUUCGAUACUGCGGUGCUUGAGGACUGGAGAGGAGACUGGAAUUCAUGGUGUAGCAGUGAAAUGCGUAGAGAUCAUGAGGAAGACCAGUGGCGAAGGCAGCUCGCUGGGACGUUACUGACGCUGAGACGCGAAAGCGUGGGGAGCAAACAGG
rnacentral:rRNA from 1 species